rnacentral:lncRNA from 1 species
CUAUGGAAUCAUUGACACUUAUGAUGGACCCCAGGACGAACUAAAAGGGCUCCAAUGUCAAAACGGAGAUCCAACUAAAAAUGGCUCCAAAGCGCCCCCCACGAAAUUUCAAACGGUAAGCCUUGCUUCUGUAUGUGACCCAAACCUAUAGAAUCAAUAACACUUGUUCUGGACACCAAGACGAACAAAAGAGGGAGGCGGUCCACAGAUGUGGCGUCAUGGCAAAGCUCAGGCCCGUUGGUGCCAUGUGGAGGGCUUGUUGGUUUUGAAUUUGUAGAAAAGUUUAAGGGUCUUGCUUGUGUCUACUUAUAAAAGAAAGCGAAAGAAAAGAAAGGACGAAAUAGACAAAAAUGUUCAAGGUCCCCUAUUAUGAAAAAUCCACAUUUGGGUGGUUUCCCCUCGAAGCUGACAACCCCUCAACAUGAAAAAAUUUCAUUCUUUCCCUCUCUUGCUUUCCUCUCCUCUCUGAAAACAUGAGCGCAAACAGGUGUAUGGAAAAGCUGUGCGGUUAUGUCGAUAUAAUCGCAUUAUCCCCCCUACAUGUUAGAGGCAGCACCCCGAUAAUUGUUAGCCCAGCCCUAUAAAACUUCUUUGCUGAGGUAGUGUCUGCCAUUUUUCCCCUUGCAUGCGCCGAUCCGGUACAGCAACCACCCCGAAGCUAUGAUCCAGCCACUGUGUGGUUCUUGGCUGCACAAAUGAAGACAAGAGUCUAUUUCUGCCCCCUUUAACGUAAGAUUUGAGGACCCAGUGAAUUGAUUUUAUUUUUAAUGAAAAUGUACCCGCAACAACUCUAAAAAAUGUUGUAUGUGUGUGCUAACCAUUUCACCAUGGACUGCUUUACCAAUGAGGGGCAGAUUAAAGCAGGAUUCGCUAAGAAGCUGAAGAUAAAACCUUGAUCAGUACCAACUGUCCGUGUCAGGAACCCAACUUCAAACGUGGAAGCUGUACGUUCUACCAUUUUAUGUUGUUUGACCGCCUGUAUAACUAGUGCUUUGGCUGCAAUCACGUGUGUUUACCAUCGUUGGUAUUCAUUGUUGGUUUCAUUUCUAUUUACUUUUAUUCCUGUGAGCAGCAGGUGUUCCUCGGGGGUGCGGAGGCAAGUUGGUGCCACAGUGGGCUGGAGGCCCUCUGAAGAGGUCCUCAGAAGAGCUCCAGACCACCGCUCCUGGACCACUGUGGCGGUGGGUACAGGCUGGCUGAUAUCCACAAAUAAACUGGUGUUUUAGACAACAAACAUCAAAUUUACUCGUGUGCGAUCUCUAGGAUCGAUUUAAACUUGAUGAAAAAUGCCAUAAUAGGAGACCUUUAAGGAAACAGAAAAGCUGAUGGCAAAAGUAAAUGCACCCUUCUUACAUACGGCCCAAGGAAAGAGUCCCCCACCUUAUGAGAGAGAGUUAAAGUUCACUGAUGUUUAUCCUCAGCUCCCAGUAAUUAAACAGGAGGGUAACUAUCACAUCAAAGAUGAAGAAUAGAGAAUAAUAGAGACAGGAAAUGCUAAAACAACUGUAAAGAUGUACCGAAGUAAUAAAAGUAAAAAGAAAGCAGGACGUCCAGCAAGUAGCAGUCAACAAAGAUUUAAAAAAAUAGAAAUGGGAGAUGAAAGUCAGAGUGAUGUGGGUGAGGCCAUUGGAGGUUAUGACCCAGCAGUUAGAUGGGUAUUAGCCAAAGCAGGGAAAAUAGGAGAAAAAUCACAGAGGAAAAAAGAAACUAGUAAGGGACACCACUGAGGAGAGUGAAAAUGAGGAUAGAGAAGAAGAUUCAGAAAGUGAGGGACCUUCAUAUUCCACCCUGUUAGUGUCCAGUUCUGAAUCUGCUUAUGAGAGACAGAGGGCUUUAGUAAAAAAGAUUGAGGGAAGUAUAAAUAGAUGUCUUACAGACAUGAAUAAAUCUACCAGUCCAGAAAGCCACGAAGAAGAAAAAGUCAGAAAGUUAGACACUUCACAAUAUGCAUUACGCCCAAGAAAAGAGGAUAAGCCAUCUGAUAAAAUGUGUCCAGUAGUUGUCCAAUCAAAGAAUUUAGAGUAUAAGCCUUUGCAGAGGACAGAUAUGUCAGAUAUCCUUGAAAAGUUACCUACUCCUCAGAAUGGAACACAUCCUUGAAAUCCAAAGUUGGAAGAAGAUAUGGUGAGAUGGCAGCUGGCCAUGAGAGAUAUUAAGAGAUUCUUAGCUAGCCUCUUAGGGGUUCCAGUUAUGGAAGAGAUCUGGCAGAGAGCAGGACUUAAUCGAUAUGCGGGGACUGCUGUGAAUGAUCCAGAGCUGUUUGCUGUUAGUAGAGCUCGGAUGUGGAGAACAUUGAGAGAUACAUUUCCAACAAAUGUACAUCCUGAUAAUAUUUUCAUCGAACCACUGGGGCUAUAGGAGAGUGCAAGAGCUUAUGCAUCUCAGGGCUCUAUUUUCGUGCCUCGCCGGAGACGUGCCGCAGGCGCGGCGUAAGUCAGGUCCGCCGCGCCGACAAGGUGUUCUCAAGCACAUUUUGGUAUUUUGGUGAGCGGCGCAGCCCGGCGUAAGUAUCCCCCCUCUCUAACUCAGCUCCUCCCAGCGGCGCAAGUCGUAAGGAGGGAAGAGAGAGGGCGUGGAGUGGGUUUAACACAGCCGAGACCGGUAUUGACCAAUAACAUAAGCUCCUCUCCUCGCCUUUAAAUCCGCAACCGGCGAGGCGUAUUACUAUUUUCAUGCAGUACUCAAAGUGAUCAAGAGAUGUGUAAAGAAAGCAAUGCCACACGAUGGCGACAGAAGGCAGCCCCUCAACAAGUGUCACUGUAAGCGCUGCAUUGGGCAUCCUCCACACUCUCUCAUAUGAGCACAGAUGGAUUUGGUGUGUGUAAUGUUGGACCCACUGGUAAGACAAACACCCUUUUCCACAAAUAAAGACACUCACAUAAAGUUGCAUAUAUUCAAACCUCACGUGACAAAGGUGGGUUGUGCGCACAGAUCACAACAUAAAUUCCAAUAAUGGCAUUAAAAUCGGAACCAUCUGUGCGUAAAUGACGCAUCGCGCUCCGUGGCCUGGCUCUUUCUUUCAUAGAUGUCGGCAUAUAAAAUAAAUUUGCCUCACAAAACUGAAUAUUAUAAUAUUCGUAUGUAGGCUUAAAGUAAAUAACUCAUCUGAUCACUGAAACAAAUCAUCUGUUCAGCCGCAGCUGCAGCAGGACGGAGAGAGGACACGGAGACAUGUCCAGGUCGAGCUGCACGAGAAAUAAGAGUAAGAGGAAGAAAGAAAAGGAGGGAGACAAAUUACAUAUCUUGUUAACUUCAUCAUGUGUGUUUAUUUACUAGAUAUUUAAUUUAAUUUAAUGCGGUUUCAGCUGUGCUGAUUCGGUCAGGUUGUGUGUCCAAAUGCGUGCCAAACGCGCUCAUCAGAUCAGAUAUAGAUCAGAAUAUAUCUUUAUAGAUCUAAAUGUAUGUGCUGACUCAGAUUAUUAGUUGUUGAUGAUUAUUUAUUGCACUGAAAUGUUCCUGACACUGUGGAAACCUGCCGUUGAGGCAUCUGUGAUGUAUGCCGAUACGCCGCCGGUCUACCAAAAUACCUCUAGACCAGCUGCGCUCCGCCUGCGGGUUUGAAUCAGCGAGCUUUCAGCGCACUUUACAGGCCACUGGCGAGCACAAAAAUGUCACUGCGCCCGCUGAUUCUGUCAACACCUCCCCCUGCCACGCCACCACGCCCAGCUUGGCGGAUCUCGGUUCGCAUCCGUGCGCCUCAGUCCACAAAAAUACCAAACUGGCUGUACGCCGGGCUCCACCAGACGAAAAUACAACUGCGUGGGGACCGCCACCCUCCGCUGCCUCACCGGCGUCCACGAAAAUAGAGCCCAAAGACUCAUCAAGUGUGGAGAAAUGUGUCAGGAAAUGAUCCAGAUAUGCACCAAAUGGAACAGUCCAUUUUGUGAGCUAAAACACAAAAAGGCUAAAUUGGCAGAGGUGGUUGGUCUUGUUAGUAUGACAAAAGGUGCAAACUCAGACAAUAUAUCACAUCAAGUAGAGGUAUAAAGGAAGAAAGAAGAGGGUCAGAGAGAGAGCAGGAUCAAGAGACUCUAAGGAAACUUAACCAAACACAGUUGUAGAUGGUUAGGAAGAGAAGAAACAUGUUGUCAGUCUCAGUCCAAUCAAUCACAAUCACAACCACAGCAGGAGCAGAUUCAGUGUCAACCCAAAGUUCUUUUGGUCACUUAUGAAGUGGACUGAGAAGAUAAAAUCGUUCUCAUAGAUGUGGUUUCAAUACAAGAAGCUGCUUCUUCAAUGGAUAAGCAAUUGUGGCUUGACUGAGGAGCCACUCAAGAUUCUACAGGUUUGUGGCAGAGUCAUGAAGAGUUGAUGGAGGCAACCUCAGACCUGGUUGGUGUCAUGAUUCUGGACAAAUAUAAGUUAGGCCAUGUUGCAAAGGGGAAAGUUAGGAGAAAACUCACAAAAGAGUAUGGUUUUUAGGCACUGUACCUGUUUGAGCAAAUUAAUUAUGUAAUAUGAAGAUGCACAAUCUGUCUGAAAAACAAUGAUCGGAGGGUACAAUUAAAAAUGUUUUGUUAAGAUUUGCGAGCACAUAGGUUUAAAUUGAAUAAAUUGAAAUGGUGUUAAAAUAUAACAAUGAAAUUACUGCAUAACAAUAUGUUGUACAAAAGUUUGUUUUUGCAAGAUACUGCUAGGUUGUUGUUGUUUUUUUGUUUUUUUUCCAUUCCCAGGACAACACUAGGGUAGACCAGCUAGAGAAAGGCUGUUCUUCAGAGAUCAAUACAACUUAAAUGGACUCUUAUACUCCACUAUGAACAAUCAAACAUGGAAAAUGAAACCAGAUAGGACAUUGUUUAUGAUAUUCUGAUAUGGAAUAAUAUUGGUAGUACAUUGAACUAGUAGCUAAUGCUGCUGAGGAGCAACAGUUUGGAAUGUUAUUGUAAUUUUUUUUUAUUAUUGGAGUUCAUUUCCUUUCCAUCCAGGAUAACCCCCACCACCCUCUCCACAGCACCAUCUCCAGCCAGAGGAGCUCCUUCAGUGACGGGCUGUUAUCAGUGCCGUCCCGCACUGCCAGAUUGAGG